CACUGGGAGCUGUCAAGGUCGCCUGCUUUGUGCAAGGAUUAGAGUGGUAAAGAGACGGCGGCGCGACUGACCAUUCUGAAUAGCUACCCGGGUGCGCUAGUUUUCGGACGCCAAGGGACAAGCAGACGCGACGAACGGUUCAUACCCGAUUCGGGGCCUCUCGUGACCGACUGUACAGUGUCUCGAACAUGGCACACAGCAUCUGCCUCUCCAUACUAUAACGUGGGCAGGUAAACCAAGGAUGUGCGAUUGCUUUCUUCCCCACUGAAAGUGUCACAGCACAAAUUGAGAUACAAAUUACACGAACAUGCACUUGUAUGCUCAGGUGCGAUCUAAGAAGAAAGGACUGCGGAGCACGUACCAUGCAAUGGAAUCGAACAAACUAUCAUACGUUUCUAGUUGAGUUUUUUUAACCAGUAAACACAGUCACUUUGCUCAAGUGCAUGGAUAAGUUAGAGGACGGCCUUGAUGACUUCUGGCCAGGCGGGCCUCCGCAAGGCUCCACGUCCAAGGCCGCAAGACAGGGAGCCGACCCACGAGGGAAUUCCGAAGCUUUUUUUCAAGAAAAGGAGAACACAGAAAGAGGAAUUCUGCGAAUA